rnacentral:rRNA from 1 species
UACGUAGGGGGCGAGCGUUGUCCGGAGUUACUGGGCGUAAAGGGCACGCAGGCGGUGCGGCGCGUUUCGCGUGACAGCGGAGGGCUUAACUCUCCGAGGAUGCGAAAGACGGCGGCACUUGAGGGCCAGAGAGGGACACGGAAUUCCUGGUGUAGCGGUGAAAUGCGCAGAUAUCAGGAGGAACACCGGUGGCGAAGGCGGUUCCCUGGGCCUUACCUGACACUGAGGAGCGAAAGCGUGGGGAGCAAACAGG